rnacentral:rRNA from 1 species
GCUCAGAACGAACGCUGGCGGCAGGCUUAACACAUGCAAGUCGAGCGCCCCGCAAGGGGAGCGGCAGACGGGUGAGUAACGCGUGGGAAUCUACCCUUGACUACGGAAUAACGCAGGGAAACUUGUGCUAAUACCGUAUGUGUCCUUCGGGAGAAAGAUUUAUCGGUCAAGGAUGAGCCCGCGUUGGAUUAGCUAGUUGGUGGGGUAAAGGCCUACCAAGGCGACGAUCCAUAGCUGGUCUGAGAGGAUGAUCAGCCACAUUGGGACUGAGACACGGCCCAAACUCCUACGGGAGGCAGCWGUGGGGAAUAUUGGACWAUGGGCGCWAGCYUGAUCCAGCCWUGCCGCGUGAGUGAUGAAGGCCCUAGGGUUGUAAAGCUCUUUCACCGGAGAAGAUAAU